UGGGGAAUAUUGGACAAUGGGCGAAAGCCUGAUCCAGCCAUGCCGCGUGUGUGAAGAAGGCCUUUUGGUUGUAAAGCACUUUCAGCGAGGAGGAGGCUACUUAGAUUAAUACUCUAGGAUAGUGGACGUUACUCGCAGAAUAAGCACCGGCUAACUCUGUGCCAGCAGCCGCGGUAAUACAGAGGGUGCGAGCGUUAAUCGGAUUUACUGGGCGUAAAGCGUGCGUAGGCGGCUUUUUAAGUCGGAUGUGAAAUCCCUGAGCUUAACUUAGGAAUUGCAUUCGAUACUGGGAAGCUAGAGUAUGGGAGAGGAUGGUAGAAUUCCAGGUGUAGCGGUGAAAUGCGUAGAGAUAUGGAGGAAUACCGAUGGCGAAGGCAGCCAUCUGGCCUAAUACUGACGCUGAGGUACGAAAGCAUGGGGAGCAAACAGG
rnacentral:rRNA from 1 species